ACUGGAUUAGUGGCGAACGGGUGAGUAACACGUGAGCAAUCUGCCCCUGACUCUGGGAUAACUCCGAGAAAUCGGUGCUAAUACCGGAUACGAACUGAGACCGCAUGGUCAUCAGUUGGAAGGAACUUCGGUCAGGGAUGAGCUCGCGGCCUAUCAGCUAGUUGGUGAGGUAAUGGCUCACCAAGGCGACGACGGGUAGCCGGCCUGAGAGGGUGACCGGCCACACUGGGACUGAGACACGGCCCAGACUCCUACGGGAGGCAGCAGUGGGGAAUAUUGCACAAUGGGCGCAAGCCUGAUGCAGCAACGCCGCGUGAGGGACGAAGGCCUUCGGGUUGUAAACCUCUUUUAGCAGGGAAGAAGCGAAAGUGACGGUACCUGCAGAAAAAGCACCGGCUAACUACGUGCCAGCAGCCGCGGUAAUACGUAGGGUGCAAGCGUUGUCCGGAAUUAUUGGGCGUAAAGAGCUCGUAGGCGGUUUGUCGCGUCUGCUGUGAAAAUCCGAGGCUCAACCUCGG
rnacentral:rRNA from 1 species